UACGGGAGGCAGCAGUGGGGAAUAUUGCACAAUGGGCGAAAGCCUGAUGCAGCUAUGCCGCGUGUAUGAAGAAGGCCUUAGGGUUGUAAAGUACUUUCAUCGGGGAGGAAAAAACAAAACUAAUAAUUUUAUUUCUUGACGUUACCCGAAAAAGAAGCACCGGCUAACUCCGUGCCAGCAGCCGCGGUAAUACGGAGGGUGCUAGCGUUAAUCAGAAUUACUGGGCGUAAAGAGCACGUAGGUGGUUUUUUUAAAGUCAGAUGUGAAAUCCCUGGGCUUAACCUAGGAACUGCAUUUUGAAACUGAAAUACUAGAGUAUCGUAGAGGGAGGUAGAAUUCUAGGUGUAGCGGUGAAAUGCGUAGAUAUCUGGAGGAAUACCUAUGGCGAAAGCGGCCUCCUAAACGAAUACUGACACUGAGGUGCGAAAGCGUGGGGAGCAAAACAGGGAUUAGAUACC
rnacentral:rRNA from 1 species